rnacentral:rRNA from 1 species
CGGGGUGGAGGUAAGUGUAUGGGGAGUCUGCCUGAUGGGGGGGAGGUAACUACUGGAAACGGGAGCUAAUACCGCAUAAUGUCUGCGGACCAAAGCGGGGGACCUCCGGGCCUCGCGCCAUCAGAUGAACCCAUAUGGGAUUAGCUAGUAGGUAAGGUAACGGCUUACCUAGGCGACGAUCCCUAGCUGGUCUGAGAGGAUGAUCAGCCACACUGGGACUGAGACACGGCCCAG